AAAUUGAAGAGUUUGAUCAUGGCUCAGAUUGAACGCUGGCGGCAGGCCUAACACAUGCAAGUCGAACGGUAGCACAGAGAGCUUGCUCUCGGGUGACGAGUGGCGGACGGGUGAGUAAUGUCUGGGAAACUGCCUGAUGGAGGGGGAUAACUACUGGAAACGGUGGCUAAUACCGCAUAACGUCGCAAGACCAAAGAGGGGGACCUUCGGGCCUCUUGCCAUCAGAUGUGCCCAGAUGGGAUUAGCUGGUUGGUGAGGUAACGGCUCACCAAGGCGACGAUCCCU
rnacentral:rRNA from 1 species